UACGGAGGGGGCUAGCGUUGUUCGGAAUUACUGGACGUAAAGCGCACGUAGGCGGCUUUGUAAGUUAGAGGUGAAAGCCCAGGGCUUAACCCUGGAAUUGCCUUUAAGACUGCAUCGCUAGAAUCGUGGAGAGGUGAGUGGAAUUCCGAGUGUAGAGGUGAAAUUCGUAGAUAUUCGGAAGAACACCAGUGGCGAAGGCGACUCACUGGACACGUAUUGACGCUGAGGUGCGAAAGCGUGGGGAGCAAACAGG
rnacentral:rRNA from 1 species